AACGAACGCUGGCGGCGUGGUUAAGACAUGCAAGUCGUACGGUACGUUGUAGCAAUAUGGCGUACAGUGGCGGACGGGUGAGUAAUACUUGGGUUAUGUACCCUGGGCACAGGAAUAGCGACGGGUUCCGCAAGGAAUCCUUUACGAAAGAGUCGGUAAUACCUGAUUAUGCCAUGAGGAGGCAUCUCUUUUUGGCCAAAGGGUGGGGACCGCAAGGCCUACCGGCCUGGGAGCAGCCCAAGUCCAUCAGCUAGUUGGUGAGGUAACGGCCACCAAGGCAACGACGGGUAACCGGUCUGAGAGGAUGGUCGGUCACAUCGGAACUGAGACACUGUCCGGACACCUACGGGUGGCUGCAGUAACGAAUCUUCCGCAAUGGGCGAAAGCCUGACGGAGCGACGCCGCGUGAGGGAUGACGGCCUGUGUAC
rnacentral:rRNA from 1 species